UACAGAGGUCCCGAGCGUUGUUCGGAUUCAUUGGGCGUAAAGGGUGCGUAGGCGGCGUGGUAAGUCUGAUGUGAAAUCCUGGGGCUCAACCCCAGAACUGCAUUGGAUACUGCCAUGCUAGAGUACUGGAGAGGAAACUGGAAUUUACGGUGUAGCAGUGAAAUGCGUAGAGAUCGUAAGGAAGACCAGUGGCGAAGGCGAGUUUCUGGACAGUAACUGACGCUGAGGCACGAAGGCCAGGGGGGCAAACGGG
rnacentral:rRNA from 1 species